ACAGAGGUCUCAAGCGUUGUUCGGAUUCAUUGGGCGUAAAGGGUGCGUAGGCGGCGCGGUAAGUCGGGUGUGAAAUCUCGGGGCUUAACUCCGAAACUGCAUUCGAUACUGCCGUGCUUGAGGACUGGAGAGGAGACUGGAAUUUACGGUGUAGCGGUGAAAUGCGUAGAUAUCAGGAGGAACACCAAUGGCGAAGGCAGCUCGCUGGGACGUGACUGACGCUGAGACGCGAAAGCGUGGGGAGCAAACAGG
rnacentral:rRNA from 1 species